rnacentral:sRNA from 15 species
GCCUGGUUUUGAGCAGGGGGAUGGCAAAGGAGUUGCCGACACGACAGAUGACCUCCAUCAGAAGUGCAACGGUGACAAGUGCGAGGAGAGCUUUGCAAUAGU